GUCUUAUUAUUAAACUAUAAGUCUAAUCUGCUCACUGAUUAUUUAAAGAGCCGCAGUAUAUUGACUGUGCAAAGGUAGCAUAAUCAAUUGUUUUUUAAAUGAAAACUGGAAUGAAUGAUUGGAUGAAAUAAUAACUGUUUCUAUAUAACAAAUUGAAUUUAAAUUGUAAGUGAAAAUUCUUAUAUGAUUUAAAAAGACGAGAAGACCCUAUAAAGUUUUAUUUGUAAACAGCAUUGAAUUGUUGUAUAUCAAAUUUAAUUGGGGUGAUUUUUUAAAAUGAAUAACUUAAUUUAGUUGAACCUUUAUAGAAGAAUAAAUUGAUCUAAUUAUAUUAAAAACAAGAUUAAAUUACUUUAGGGAUAACAGCGUAAUUUCAAUUAAGAGUUCAUAUUUAUAUUGAAGUUUGCGACCUCGAUGUUGAAUUAAGAUAAAUUGAAUGGAGAAGAAGCUAUUAAUUUUAGUCUGUUCGACUAUCUAAUCU
rnacentral:rRNA from 1 species